GGUUUCGGGGUUUGACCUGCACGGUUCUUUCGCCCUCUCAAGGCGGUAGCGCGGGUUCGAAUCCCGUCGGGGCUAC
rnacentral:tRNA from 1 species